rnacentral:rRNA from 1 species
CCUACGGGAGGCUGCAGUGGGGAAUAUUGGACAAUGGGGGAAACCCUGAUCCAGCGUCGCCGCGUGAGUGAAGAAGUAUUUCGGUACGUAAAGCUCUAUCAGCAGGAAAGAAAAUGACGGUAUCUGACUAAGGAGCCCCGGCUAAAUACGUGCCAGCAGCCGCGGUAAUAUGUAGGGGGCAAGCGCGUUCCGGAUUUACUGGGUGUAAGGGGAGCGUAGACGGCAGCGCACGUCUGAAGUGAAAUGCCGGGGCCCAACCCCGGAACUGCUCUGGAAACUGUGAAGCUGGAGUGCAGGAGAGGUAAGCGGAAUUCCUGGUGUAGCGGUGGAAUGCGUAGAUAUCAGGAGGAACACCGGCGGCGAAGGCGGCUUACUGGACUGUAACUGACGUUGAGGCUCGAAGGCGUGGGGAGCAAACAGGAUUAGAUACCCUAGUAGUC